UCAAUUGGUAAGGUNCUUGCCUAGCAUGCA
rnacentral:piRNA from 1 species